AAAAAAACCGCGCUUCUUCUGAUUACUUGCCAAUUCAAAAAGAAGGCCUCGCCCUCCACCUCCACCUGUAUGUCCAGUCUGUAAUAACAACGCAUGCGUCAGAGCCGUUUGCCCAACGUAUCUCAAUGCAAUCUGCAAAACAAGUUGUAAUGGAUGUAGAGAACAUUUCUUCAAUCCAUACAAUCUCAGAUACGACAUUGUAAGACAAUGUAAAUGUCCACCUAAUAUUCCGCCAAAUCCGCAUUGCGGUGGAUAUAUGUUGCAACGGUGUUAGAUGUGCAAACUCUCUACAAGCUCAGUGUCGUGUUUAUGGAUGUGACCAAUGUGCUAUUGCAAUUCUUCGAUAGGUUUGGACGUAGAGUACCGUGUAAACAACAAGCAACUUGUCAGCCUGGAAUAAACUCAAUUGGUCUUUGCCCCAGAGGAUGCCUCGGUGCUUCUUGUCCAAAGUAUCCUGAAGCUCAUUGUAGAGUUCUGUGUCCCGGAUGUCCAGUUCAAUUCUACGAUCAGAUAACCAAUCAGGCAAUUGUCGAUUGCAUUGGGAUUUAAAAAGAUUCAAAGCGUUUCCGGCAACGUGCAUCUAAAAUGCAUCAGACUUAUAUCAACCUAUGUUUAACUAAUAAUUAACUAACACCGCAAUAUGUUAAUCUACAAUAUUAAAUAAAUGGCAAACAAUAGAGCGAUUUUCCAAUAUAUUGAUACGAAGACCAAAGUGAACAGUGGUGUAUCGCCAAAAAAUGUCUGACUUUCCCGUAGCAAAAAAGUAGCACGAAAAAGUAACAAUUCUCACAUGAAUCAACUUUCAAUCCGACACUAACUAUGAUGCAGAUAUUCGACCCCUCCCCCCCUAUUGAAAAUAUUGGCUGUGCCCCUGAUGGGAGGGUUAGUCAAUAAAACUAAAAUCUAUUAGAACGUCUUAUUAAAGGGUAUAAAUAUACUAUUUUCAUGGUGGCAUGCUUAUUUUUAUCAGUCUAUGUUCUGUCGCAUUCUGAGCCUUUUACUGGCCUAUUUACAAUAGAUUGUCACAUUCAAUAUGCUUGAUACAUAACACCGCAUUUAGUUGAAGACCUAUUUUGCUUUAUUGAGAAAUAUUUUCAGUUGAUAAAGGGUAAUAAGCGAAUAAGCUUUCACUAACUAAAUGGAAUUAGCAGUUAUUAUUUUUUUCUUUACCGACUGUUAUAAAAAAUUUGGUACAAAAAUUGUAUUUGAAGGUUCACGAGUAAAGAAGAAUUUAAUUACUGAAUUUUCCGAAGUUCAAUGAAAUGAAAUUUGUCAAUAAUGUAAGAUCUGACUUGCAGUUCACAUUUUAAGGUUUGAAUGUAAUAAAAACUCUCGUGGAAGUCUUUGUCAUGUCUUUUUCAAUACUCACACCCGUUGCCAAGGUUGUUCGCUGGACAUUCCUACAAAUUUUUACAUCAAAUGACAUGAAGGAGAUAACCAACCACAUUCUAAAGACACUUGAUGACAAUAAAACUUUUGUGCUGUCGUAUUCAAUAAUUUUUCAAUUUUGUGAAGAUUGGCUUUGGUGGUACUAAACCAGACUUAGCAAAAGUUAACAACAAUCCUAUUUUUAAAUAAUUUUUUUUAUUAACUGCUAAAAUAUUGUCUAGUGUUAGA